AACUGUUAACCAGACUCAUGUUGUUAAACAAAACUAGUGAAGCAUUCAAGCAAUUGCAAAUAAAGCCCUAAGUACAUGAUAUAUAAUGCACAUAAGGGUCCUACAACAUGGUAUAAAUGCAGUAGCAAUAACAAUAACUUUAUUAAUUAUUAACUGAUUGUGAUUAUAAAGUGAGUAAAAUAACAAAUUGAAAGUAAAGGGGCCUAAAACAGGAUUUCUAUUCGUGUGAGAUGCAAGUCCUAUGCAGGAUAUAUAUUGCACAAAUAAGUAAAACCCCUACUAGAAUGUUUUCUACCCAUAACCCUUAACUAAGCAUGCAUAUCCCUCCCAUUUCACUAUAAACCCCCAUUGUUCAUUACAUGUUAUUACAGACCAAGAUAAUUAAUAUUACAGUAACGAAGAGUAAAAAAGAAAGAUAAUCUAUAGGGAGCCUUCAACCAGGACCAAUCUUCCAACCUCUCUUCUUUCGAGUUUCACAGCUUUUACAAGGUUUGGGUGCGCCAAAUCUCCCUAAGGGCCCAUUGGGGCCCUUGGCCAAUACCAGGCACCCAAAUAGAUUAACAUUGAAUCAAUGGAAGUGUGGAAUUACCAACCUUGUGCAUCAAUGUUUAGUGGAUACUCAAGGUACCCAAAGCAAUGCUUACACUAAGGGGGUAGAACCUAAAUUUUAAGAGUAGUGAGAUUGUGAGAUAGUUUUAAAGAGAUUGAGUUGAAUAACAGUUUAAAGAGGGUCCAUAGAGAACCAGUAUUGAGAGAAAAGCAAUGGAAGGGGAGGUAGAGUUCUUUUAAAAGUAACUGAGUUUCAAAACAGUUAAAGAGGAUUCACAUGAAAACAGUUUUGAGCGAAAUGCAACAGAAUAGACAAUAUCAAGUUAUAGGGUUCAAGGAAGACAAGCACAAGCAGGGGCAGAGGACAUGGGGACAAGUAACUUACAAGUGAGAACACAAUUACAUAUAUACAAACAUCAAAGAGAAUCACUUCGAAAUUUAAACAAUCAAGUGGGUUUCAAAUAAAGGGUCAGGGUCUUAACAACAUUAGAUUGAUAGAUACCAAACAGAUUCACACAUCAGGAAAAGGUUCAGGGUUACUUAGUAGCUAAGAGUGUCCUAAAUACAUAAUUGCAGUAAGAACAAUAAAACCAUAAGUAGAAACAUACAAAAAAAAGUGCAAUACAAAUAGAAACAUAUUGCUUUGAAAAUGUAAAUAAAAUAUGAGACAUACCAGUUGAAGGCAAGGUAAUGCAGGGCCGUAAUGAGUUAUAAUAUUCAAAAUAGUGAGCAAUAGUGUGCAAGGAGUCAACAGUAAUAUGCAGAAAGUAUGCAGAAAGAGCAUCAAUAGGCAAAGAAGUGAGCAGCAGUGGUAGUGAAGUGAGUAGCAAUAGCAUACUCAAGAAAGCAGCAAUGUAGAGAGAGCAAUAGAACAAUAAAGUAGCCCAAAGCUCAGCCUGGGAUUCAAACUAGCUGAGUAACCAUUAGUCACAAGAGAGGUGAGAGAAGUUGGGUAGAAAACAAGUGAGAACACUGAAUAUUUUUGUGUAAGAGAGAAUUCAGAAUGGAUUAUGUUCGUAUGAAGUGAGAAGAGAGGAGGAGUACUUAUAGUUUUUGAAAACCAGUAGAGAAUAGGGAAGCAUGUACCUAAUUAUAGAAACAAUUCCAAUUGGAAUCAUUCACAUGACCUAAUUCAAUUUAAUUAGGGAUUCAUGAUUUGAAUGGGAGUACAAGCUAUAUCAGAUAAAGGAAAGAAUCAAUUAGACGACUAAUUGCACCACAGUAGAAGUAGUAGGCAUGUGGUAUGUAAUAAGGGCCAAAUACAUAAUAUUUCAAAUAUGGAAUAUAUAUACUGAGCGUUUGAACAAUAUGUUUAAGAGCACAAUUAUGGUAAGAGUGAAAUUAACUAUCAAAAUCGUUCAAAGAAUUACGGACAAGACCAAAAUCAGAGGGAAUCGGUACUAAGUAUAGAGAGCAUCUCACAAGUAAGGAAAUAAUUCAAAAAUAAGUGUAAGAACCUUGAAGGAAAACACACACAAAUCAGGGAUUUAAAGAGAUGCACAGAAUCAUUCGAAAAAUAAUUAGAUCUAUAAACACGAUAGGCAUGAAAAUCCGAGAACAUUAAGCAAGAAAAUUACACUUUCAACAGAAGAUUGGAACCCUAGUAAAAUUUUAAAGCAUGGAGCUCGGAAUAAGAAGAAAACAAACUAGCUCAUAAUAUAAACACAAUAGACAUAACCACAUAAUACUCAAAAAGAAGCAGAAGAUAUAGUGAUUUUGAAAGGGGGUCGGAAACCCUAGUUUUUGAAAAGAAGAACAAGUCGUUGAAAAGAACUUGAGUAAUCAGAGAAAUCGAGUAGUGAGUAGUGUAAAACACAAAGAAUAAACUAAAAAAUAAAUCAUUUUAAUAAGACAGAGAUUAAGAGACUUAGGAAAACAAAUUAGGGGUUUGGAAUUAAAUCAGUGACGUAAGGAACCUAGCUGCAAAACUCGUUAAUAAUGGAGUUUAAAGCAAUAUCAGACUGAAAACCACCGGAGAGAAGGCCGGAGAUAAGCCAAGCAAGGCUUCUAGGGACCGUCUUUCAUGGUAGAAGUCUCUGGGGCUUCAAGGCUCAGAGAGAAGCAACGAGACAAGGUUCCAUGGCGACUAGAGGUCAAGAAGAGUAGGGAUGGAGUUGGACGGAGAGACGAUGAAACCCAUCUGAGAAGAACUAGAAGGUUCUAGAGAGAAGGAGGAGACGAAGAGUCUAAGAGAGAGACCGGUCUCUUUGAAAAUGAGGGGUCAAGGGUGGGGGUCGUUUGAUUUAAUUUUAGUAAGUGAAUCUUGGCCGUUGAUCUCGUUUGAUCAAUGGCUCAGGUUGAAUUAUAGCUGGGUCGGGUUAAAUGAAUUGGGUGUGGGUCGGGUUACUUUGAAAUAUGGGUUGUGUUAAAGUGGGUUGAAAUUGAGGUCAAGUUGGACUAUGUUUGGAAAUCUAAUCUGGCCAUGUUUUAAUAGCCAAUUUCUCCCUUUUUAUUUUAUAAAAAAAUGUUCAAAAUAAUCUGAAAACAAAUUGGAAGCACAAAACUAAUUAAUAAUAUAUAAAUAUUAGUCUAAAAAUACCAGGAAUGAUUUUAUCCAUAUUAUCAUAAAAGCAUGAAUACAAUAUCGGUUUUACAAAAAUUACCUUGUAAUAUUAAGCAUAAUAACUCAUAAUAAAAGGAUAUACCCGGAAUUCUAAAUAUUAGCUAUAUAAUUCUAUUAGUUUUAGAACAUAUACUACACAUUAGCAAUUCUAUUGUGUGAUCUAAUUUAUUUGCUUUCUUUUGUUCGUUGUUUAUAUAUUUCACAUUAGUUAUGACAUUAUUGUGAUUCAACAUCGUAUAGAAUAUUUUUAUCUCCUUUUUUGAAUGAAGUGUUGCAAUUAAUCGGACAUAUUUAUUUUUUUGGAUGAUGUUUACAAUUUGGUUUUAACAAUGAAGAAGACCAUAUUUAGAGUACGUAUGUAUUGAAAACUCCCUAUUUAUCUCAAUAUUUGUUUUACCAAUAUAACCUAUUGAUUUAAUAGAAAGCUUGAAGUAAUUAAGGUUGUUUUUGGUCUACUAAUUUAGUAAAAUUACUUUCGGUAUAGACAUACAAUACUACACGUUAGUAUGUAAAUCUCACACCUUUAUAAAUACGUUAGAUUUCCUUAAGCAUAAUUACUUUCGGGAUAAAGACAUAUUUUUAGUCAUGUAAUACUAUUACUUUUUGUGAUAUACUUCUUAAAAGUUUAUAUUACUAAUAUAAUUUUAAAACAUAUUAUAAUGUCGUAUUACUAAUUUAAUUUGCGAAUUUAUUAUAUUGUUCAAAUUUAUUUAGAAAAAGGAGAGCUUAUUUUUUUAUAAAAAUACGAAUACAAUAUUGAUAGUUCAAAAUAGAUAAUAAAUAUUAAACAGAAGAAAUAAUAGGAAAAAUACAUAACUAGAAUAACCUAUUGAAAGGACAUAACUAUAAUAACCUAUUUUUUAGACUACAUACCUUUAUGUUAUUUUUUUAAUAUUUAAUAUUUUAACAUUAGUAAAAUUUUGUUUAUUAAGUUCAUAUUAAAAAUAUGUAAAAACGUUUAAUAAAAUCAACUCUAUAAGAAUGUUCCAUUGGCAGUACAUUAUCACUCUAUAAUGUCUAACACCAAGAAAAAAAUUAAAAUUAAUGUGAAAUUGAAUGCAUAAAACAUAUAAAUUGGGAAAAACAAUAUCUCCAUAGUAAUAUAUUACACAUUAUAUUUAAAUUAUUUUCCUACUAAAAUAUAAAUAUUAUCAAUUUUAUCGUAUAAUACUGAAAUAUAUACACAAUUAUUAAACAAUAACUAAGAAAUUAUUUAGGAAUACAAAUAUGUGAGAAAGAGAAAGAAAUAUGGUUGGUAAGGUCAAUAUCACUAUUGAUUCUACAAACGUAAAGAUUUAAAAGUAAAAUGUCAUAUCAAUCUCUUUACUCUUUCAAAAUAAAAUUUAUACUGAAUAAAAUUAUGAUUAAGAUUAAAUAUUCAAAAUAAGAGAUGAACUAAUAUUAAGAUAUAAAUCAAUAUAAAAUAAAUUAUUUCAUAUUUAAGACUAAAUAAUUAAAUAUGUCAAUUAAUUAUUUAGCAAGAAAAUACAAUUGAAUUAUUUUUAUCAGCAUAUGAGUAAAAGUACUUGCAAGUUAAAAUAAAAUUUAGGAGUCUUUUAGUAUAUGCUAUAAUGACAAUAAAUCCAGGAUAAAUUUUAGGGUUAGCCUCAUCCCAUGCUUGGUUUGGGUAUUAGAUAAUAUUGAGAUAAUUUAUACACAAAAAUGGUGGGAUAUUUAUGACAUAUAGAAGGUGUGACAUGUCACCAUUGUACCAAACAACCCCUUAGAAUACGUAAAUUUUAUUCCAUAUGAAUAGCGUUAGAGUUGAAAAAAAAAUUAGAACACAAAAUAUAAAAAAUGGCUAAUAUAGUAUUAAGAUUCAAAAUGGCAUACAAGUGUCUGAGGAAGAACGAUCAAAACUAAAUCAUAAAAAAACAAACGUUCAAAUCUAUAUUAUAAGGAGUCGAAUAUGGUAUAACAGGAUUAUCUUUUAUAGAUGUUUCCGCAAUAAUCAAAAUAACCUUUUUAUGUCAUGCAUUACUUGUAAAUGUCAGAUCAAGAGGCAUAAUACUGUAGCAAUAAUAACAAGUCGUGUAACAACAAUAAUUUUAUUAUGAGGUCACUCACUUUACAUUAGAUAAACCUCUUCAAACAACUAAAUUAACAAUCACAAAUAUAUCAAAGCAGCGCAAUAGCACUAUGGAAAGCAAAGUUGAUAAGAAGGGAUGAAGCGUUUAUGGCUAAGUAUCAAUCGAUCGAAAUAAUUAACCGGAGUUCUAGAGAUAUAUUGGAUACCUAUGAAUUGUUUGAUGAAAAAUUAAUAGUUUGGGAGGUGAUUUCUGUCAGGUACUACCGGUAGUUACAAAAUCGUUAAAGGAUAGACUAUAAAAGUUAACUUGCCAAAAUUAUAUUUAUGGCCUCAAAUGAAAAAGAUUCAACUGAUAAGAAAUAUAAAAUAAGACAAAUUCAGUAUUUAGUGACUUCUUUCUUUAUGUCGGAAACGAAGAAGAACAUCCAAUAAAAUAUGAUUUUAUUCUUCCAAAACACUUGGUAACCUCAACCAUAAUAGUAGUGCAUUUAUUAAGGGUAAUAUUUCUGUAAUUAGAAUAAAACGCAAUUUGCUAAUUGCAUGAUAGAAAUUUAAAAACUAUCUUAUAUAAUAGAUGAUUAUGUUGACUAAGUAUUAACUAAAUAAAAGGUUGAUACCAAAUCUUAUAGUAAAAGUAAAAUAUAUUCUUUUUCAGUUUUUUGACUCAGCAAAAGAUGAUACUAAUUGUUACUACUACAAAGAAUACAUAAAUACUUUAAUAUCAAAAGACCUUUUAUCAUAGACAUUUGUAGUCAAGUUUAUUAUUUCUUACGUAUGUUAGUGUCAUCAUAUAUAUAAUAGACUAAUUUAAAUUAAUAUUUCAUAUAUAAAUAUGCAUGUCAUGCUACUAAAAUUUGGAUCCGCCAAAUAGCUAUAGCACACAGAUGGUAUAUAGAAGUUUUAUCAAUAAUAUCAUGCAAAAUUAUGAUAAUGAUCAAUGUAUUUCUAAGUAUAUUUUUAUGACUAAAUUCAUCAUUCGUCUUCCAAAACUAAAGAAUAUCCUAUUCGAUUUUUGAGAAAAUAAUUUUUAGCGUGUUUAUGUUUUGCAAUUAUAAUAAAUAAAGCACAAGGACAAACACCAUAAAUGUUAGAUUAUAUUUGUCGCAAUAAGCUUUCUUGCAUAAAAAACUAUAUGUUGCACUUUUAAGAGGGUUAUCAAUAUUGAUCAAGAGUUGUGGCUAUGACAGAGCAACCAAAGCAUUAGAAGGAAACACCCCAGAAAAAAUAUCGUCUAUAAAGAAGUGUUCGAUAAGAUAUCAUCACAUUAAAUACUUUUACUUUAUAAUACCUAAUUAUCUAACUAAUAUAACUAAAUUGAUCAUUUGUAUAAGUUCUAAUGAUGUCAAUUAAUUUUGAAUUUCACGUAUUACACUAAUGUAAUAAUAGUUUUCGAUAUUUAGAUGAUUGUUGUAUUAUUAUACAUAAAAUUUCUCUCAUUAAUUAAAUUUUAUUGUUCCUUCAUAUAAAUAAAUAUUUAAACCAUCACGUACUAAUUUUAACGUGCAAGACACGUUCAUAGAAUCUAGUAAUUAUAAAAUGCAGCUAAUUGUAAAAUAGGCUAUGAUUGCAAUUUCAUGCAAUUUAGCUUUACAAAAUUCCAAAAAAAAAAAUUGUAAAAAUAUGCAAAAAAUUAUAUUAAUUAUAUUUUGUUGUAAAUAUGAGAAUGAAAUACGUUAUUCAAAAAAAAAGAAAAAAAUGAUAAUUUUAAAACAAUAUAGGAUUCUGUACUGUUAAAAUAGAAAGGAAGAUCUGUAGGAAUCAAUAGCAACACACACACAGCAACAACAGUUCAGCAACACAGCAAAACUAGUGAAACCAAUAAUAACAGUAACAGAAAUCCUAGGAGCAGAUUAAAACCAAGAGAAGAGCCUAGAAGCUCAAUAAAACAGUGCUUGAAAACCAACAGAAAUCCCAGGCAAUACCAAAUUCAAACCAAGCAGUAUCAAAAGAACACAGAAGGAUGAAAGAGAAACAGUAGUUUCUGAUUUGCGAAAAACACUCAAAGAAAAGCAGCCUGAAAUUAUUCAAAUAAAAGUGCAGCCUUUUUUUUCUCUUUUUGCUCUCAAAUUCUGAUCUCUCCAAAUUCAAUCCUACAUCUCACUCUUCAGUCCUUUUUUUUUCAAUUCUAAUCCCAAAUUUUCAGUCUUAAACUAUAUCUCUCUCUAGACUUUUCUCUCUAAAAAAUUCAGUCCCUUUCUAGUCCCAAAUGACCUCUAUUUAUACCAAAGGCAGUCCCCUUUUUCAGCCUAUUUCCUUUUACUAUUUACCUAUUAUUACUAUCCCUUUUAUCUCUUUUGCUUUCCAGCCCAUAUAUUCCUCUGCUAUGUGGGUUAUUUCGCUUUUCAUUAUUACUUACUAUUGCUAAUUCCCAAUCUGUGAAAGCUAAUUAUCACUACUUAGGGGUCCCCUUAUCAAUUAGUUCAAAUUAAAGCAUAUUAGGGCCCUACUGGAUAGACUACUCAGUCAAACCAAUUUUUCAAUUUUGAACUUUCCAAAUUACCCCUGAAAAACUCCUGAUAAUACUGCCCUUCUCUAAGCUUCAUUAAUAUGUUACUGAACCUAAAAAGUUCAAAUCCUAGACUCUGAUUUCUAAUUGUUUACUAUAUUACUACAGCAAAAAGCCAAUUCCUAGUCGAAUUCAACCAAAGGAUCAAGCAGAGGGUUGAAACAAAUGAACAAGUAGCUUGGUUCAAGGAGGAAACUGAAUGCACCAACAAACUCAUCUAAAUCACAAAAAUCAGAACAUAAAGAAGCAAGAUGAUUAAACAUACUGGAAUGGAUAAAAAGGACUAUUUAUCAUGUGAUUCUAGCAGUCAAACAUGAUAAACCAAUUGACGACACCUAUCUAAUCUACUACACAAAUUACAACAUAUACAAUUAAGAAUAACCAAACAGAAUCAAACAGAACAACAAUGUGAUUCAUGUGGUCUUGACAAAACAGGGAACUAUAAUGAAACUAAGUAUUCAACGAAAAUUAUUCAAAUCGAUUACAAAGCCUAAUAUAUACAUAACAACGAGCAGAAACUAAAUUGACCAAAUAAAAAGUUCUUAUGAAGAUGGGCAGAACAAUUUGUCAAACAUUGAAAAGAAGCUAACAAAAACUAAACAAAUAAUAGAUACUAGCAACAUAAAAUAGAACAAAUUAAAGACGGGAAGAAUACCUCAGAGAAUCAGCAAUCUUACGGACUCGACCAAUCUCGGACUCAAACUUUUGAUGUCAAAAUGGAUUUUAAUCAAGUUUUCUCAACUGAGAACACUCGACUAAAGUCGAUAAAGACCUCAAGUUUUCCCCUAAUCUCGGACAUGCUUAGUUUUUUGUACCCCUAGGGUUGUUCAGCUGAUUUAAGGUUCGACCUAUUCCGGCUUGAUUCGAAGGAAACUAGGGGUGGUCUGGGAACGGGGGAUGUCAAGUGGUCACAGGGUGUAAGUUUGGGACUGUUUAUGCUUGGCGCCGCCACCAAGGAAUUUUGGGGCGGCGCUAGGGUUCAUGCGGUCCAAAUUGAUAUUUGAUGAAUCCUGUGUUGAUUCGAAGAAAACCAAAGGUGUCCUAGUGGUGAGGGAGGUCUAGGGGUUAAGGGGUGUGAGUUUGGUGGUAAACGGAGGCGGCUAGGGUUUCGCUCGAUUCUUCGAUUGAAGAUAUGAACGAUCUACACGGAUUCGAGGUUAGCUGUUCUAGAGGUUGGGACUGGGAAGUCAUGGGGGUUCCAUGGUGUAAAGAUAAAGGCGUCUUUGCCACCGGAACCGCUGUGAGGCUAUUUCCGGUGGGCGAAGGGCGGUGGUUUGUGGCAUCGUUACUAGGGUCGUCUCUGAGCUAAGAGAUGAAGGUGUGAAGG
rnacentral:lncRNA from 1 species